ensembl:lncRNA
CCCCAGUACUCACACUCCAUCUGACUGCUAAGAGCAUCCCUUCCCCAAUGGCAUCUUCAGGCUGAGAAGCAUCAAAGAGAGUGAGCAACUGUCUCGAGCCUUAGAAGGAAAAAAGGCAGGGAGAGAAGAAGGAAAAAGCAAUUCUCUUCAAGAAUUUCAUGGUGGCAUUCUCUCCAACUGCUUCUCCCAUGGACCAGAAAUCAUACCUAAUUCAGAGAGUAACUUUUGGAUGAAGGUAGAAGCAGAGGAACACCAAAAAUGCAAUUAUUUUUGCUCCAGGGGUGAGGAUGGCAGCAGGACACGUAUUUCAUACAGUGCUGUACUCCACAGUGGAUGCAAGACUCAGCACUGCAGCCUCUGAACACUUGAGGACUUUGCCUUGCUAUUCAGCAUGCAGUGCAGUCUCACUGUCUGAUGGGUUCUGCCAUGGCUGCAAAGGCUCUGAGUCUGGUUGAGAUGGGCGAGUUAAGAAGCAGCUGCAGAAAUCAAGCUAAGUGAGCAUUCAGCUACAUUUUAGUAGUCCCUAGGAAGAUUAUAACUGUAUGUUUCGGCAUUGGGCAUCAUUGCAUGUAUAAUUUUCAAGAGAACAAAUACUUUUAGAUUUGC